rnacentral:rRNA from 1 species
UGCCAGCCGCCGCGGUAAUACGAAGGGUGCAAGCGUUAAUCGGAAUUAUUGGGCGUAAAGGGCGCGUAGGCGGGCAGGUAAGUCAGAUGUGAAAUUCCAAAGCUCAACUUUGGAGCUGCAUUUGAAACUACUUUUCUUGAGGGUUGACGGAGAAAACGGAAUUCCACGUGUAGCGGUGAAAUGCGUAGAUAUGUGGAAGAACACCCGUGGCGAAAGCGGUUUUCUAGCUUAUUCCUGACGCUCAGGCCAGAAAGCUAGGGGAGCAAACAGGAUUAGAUA